rnacentral:lncRNA from 1 species
CCAUGAUUGUGAGGCCUCCCCAGCCAUAUGGAACUGUGCCUCACUCUAGUCCUGACCCUGUUACCACCAAAAUAUCCCCACUGAGGAACUUCUAGUGAAUAUAUUUCAAGAAGAAGGGAACUAACCCCAGGAAGAAGACUGAAAGCUUCAUGAGGAUAAACUGAGACUCUUCGCUAUUGAAAUUCUAUUGCCAGGCGCAUCCCCCAGCCCACAGUGAAUGGAAUUGGAUUAUUCUGAAGCACAAUCAGUAUUCCAAGUACAUGGUUUCUGUAAUGGGAUAAUUGGCUGCCCCUGGUCCUAGACAACACCUGAAGGCACUAAUCCCAUUCAUGAAGAUUCCACCCUCAGGAUCUAAGCAUCUCCCGAAGGCCCUGCCUCCUAAUAGCAUCCCCUUGGAGGUGAGGAUUUCAACUUGGGAAUUUUGGGGUGACAUGAACAUUCAGGCUGUAGCAGAACACUUACUUGUGAGUGAGUGAGAGGGACAAGAUGCGGUUAAAGAGGCUGGCAGAGAGCGAACCACAAGAG